CCAGAGCUCCCCAAUCCAGUGGCGUAUCAGAUGCAGCACGCUCUGCAUGCGCGUCUAUUUGUAUGAAGUCACACCAACGUCAUAACGGUGCGACUCUUAUUGCCGAAUCUAUUGGUUCGCAAGAACAGAGGCACUGGAGUUCUGCAUUUGGCAGAACUCGCGUCUUUAGGUGCUCUAAAGUGAUGCUGACCAAUUGUAUUAGUUCC